UCGCCGUGAGACCCAGGGGGUGCGGGCCGUCUCCAGAGGGAGAGUGGCAGCUGUGACGGCGAGCAGUGGGCGAUAGCCGAGAGUCCGGUCGGACGACAUGGAGGCCUCAAUAAAGGAGUGUGACCGGAGUUGGCCCGACAGUGGCAGCGGUCCAAGAGGAGGACGUCCCAACAUGGCCCUGGCAGUAAAAUUAGGUGAUCGCCUGGUGGUGCGGGCGACGCUGAGCUUGGGAGGACGCAGCGACGAGGGGAGGAGCAGAUAAGAUGGGUUCCAAUGAAAUGCUUAAGACCUGACUUAAAUGCGUGGACGGAAGGGACUGGGGCGUAACUAAUCAUUCUCGGUGAGAUUCCAUUUUGAA
rnacentral:lncRNA from 1 species